rnacentral:rRNA from 1 species
AGCGAACGCUGGCGGCAGGCCUAACACAUGCAAGUCGAACGGGCAUAUUCGGAUGUUAGUGGCAGACGGGUGAGUACCACGUGGGAAGGAACCCUUCGGUUCGGAAUAACUCAGGGAAACUUGAGUUAAUACCGGAUACGCUCUUUCGGGGAAAGGUUUACUGCCGCAGGAUCGGCCAGUGUCUGAUUAUCUUGUUGGUGGGGUAACGGCCUACCAAGGUGACUAUCACUAGCUGGUCUGAGAGGAUGAUCAGCCACACUGGGACUGAGACACGGCCCAGACUCCUACGGAAGGCAGCAGUGGGUAAUAUUGGACAAUGGGCGCAAGCCUGAUCCAGCCAUGCCGCGUAAGUGAUGUAGUCCUUAGGGAUGUAAUGCUCUUUUGUCCGUGACCAUAAUGACGGUACCGUAUGAAUAAGCCCCGGCUAACUUCGUG